AAUAAGUCUUGGCUAACUACGUGCCAGCAGCCGCGGUAAUACGUAGAAGGCGAACGUUAUCCGGAUUUACUGGGCGUAAAGAGGGUGUAGACGGUUCUUUAAGUCAGUUGUGAAAUCUCUCGACUCAAUUGGGAGACUGCAAUUGAUACUGGGGAGCUUGAGGGCAUCAGAAGAAAGCGGAAUUCACGGUGUAGCGGUGAAAUGCGUAGAUAUCGUGAGGAACACCAGUGGCGAAGGCGGCUUUCUAGGAUGCUCCUGACGUUGAGGCCCGAAAGUGUGGGGAGCGGAACGGAUUAGAUACCCGUGUAGUCCACACCCUAAACGUUGAAUACUAGGUAUAGGGGGUAUCGACCCUCUCUGUGCCGAAGCUAACGCU
rnacentral:rRNA from 1 species